rnacentral:rRNA from 1 species
UGAGGGACGAAGGCCUUCGGGUUGUAAACCUCUUUUAGUAGGGAAGAAGCGACUGGGUUUUCCUGGGAGUGACGGUACCUGCAGAAAAAGCACCGGCUAACUACGUGCCAGCAGCCGCGGUAAUACGUAGGGUGCAAGCGUUGUCCGGAAUUAUUGGGCGUAAAGAGCUCGUAGGCGGUUUGUCGCGUCUGCUGUGAAAACCCGAGGCUCAACCUCGGGCCUGCAGUGGGUACGGGCAGACUAGAGUGCGGUAGGGGAGAUUGGAAUUCCUGGUGUAGCGGUGGAAUGCGCAGAUAUCAGGAGGAACACCAAUGGCGAAGGCAGAUCUCUGGGCCGUAACUGACGCUGAGGAGCGAAAGCAUGGGGAGCGAACAGGAUUAGAUACCCUGGUAGUCCAUGCCGUAAACGUUGGGAACUAGAUGUGGGGACCAUUCCACGGUCUCCGUGUCGCAGCUAACGCAUUAAGUUCCCCGCCUGGGGAGUACGGCCGCAAGGCUAAAACUCAAAGGAAUUGACGGGGGCCCGCACAAGCGGCGGAGCAUGCGGAUUAAUUCGAUGCAACGCGAAGAACCUUACCAAGGCUUGACAUAUACCGGAAACGGCUGGAAACAGUCGCCCCGCAAGGUCGGUAUACAGGUGGUGCAUGGUUGUCGUCAGCUCGUGUCGUGAGAUGUUGGGUUAAGUCCCGCAACGAGCGCAACCCUCGUCCUAUGUUGCCAGCACGUAAUGGUGAGAACUCAUGGGAUACUGCCGGGGUCAACUCGGAGGAAGGUGGGGAUGACGUCAAAUCAUCAUGCCCCUUAUGUCUUGGGCUUCACGCAUGCUACAAUGGCCGGUACAAAGGGCUGCGAUACCGCAAGGUGGAGCGAAUCCCAAAAAGCCGGUCUCAGUUCGGAUUGAGGUCUGCAACUCGACCUCAUGAAGUCGGAGUCGCUAGUAAUCGCAGAUCAGCAACGCUGCGGUGAAUACGUUCCCGGGCCUUGUACACACCGCC